ensembl:lncRNA
ACUUCUGAUGUCAGAACUGUUUACCUACGUGCCUCUUUUCCCGUUUCUAAUGAGCUUAAAGCAUUAAGCUCCUCGCGUCUACCUGACCGCACACAUGGGUAUCUAUUUCUCAUCCUAUUGAUGCAAUCUGGUGUUUUCCCUUCAGGAUCUGACGUGUCUCGAGAGUCAGUCGUGGCUCUUAUAAAGAGGCCUGCUCAAGCGUCCAUGCAUUGAUCACGACAGUCAGCUGCGCUCAAAGACUUCUCGUCUCUAUCUAAGCAGACAUGGAGCCCAUCAGCCAAACGAUGAGCGUGAGUGUCUCAGACGGGGUUUACCCCCGCAGGCCGGUGUGUUUGAUGCCGAGAGGAGCCUCCUCUCAUUUCGUCGGGAGCACCAUUGUGAUUAUGUCCUCGUACGCCGUUGCAACUCUGGCCAUGAACUGUGGCAAAAAGAUCCAGGAGGAGAGAUUGAAAUCUUCUGAAAACUGACGCUGAGUGCCUCAUCAGACACUGCUGUUAUUUGCUACAGACAUGCACCUUGGAGAGUCUUUCUGCACUGAAAAGUUCACCGCACUUUGGCAGCGUACUUGUCCUCAAGGUGUCGGGUCAUACAUCUAUGCAAACUUCGAAGAGAUGUUUUUCACCGUGAUCCUGCCGAACAAAGAAGCCAAGAACAGAGAAAUAGACACGAUUGUCUGCAUCAGCCGUCAUAUGGAGAGCUGCUAUACACAGCUACAGCCGAAUGUCUGAAGUCUUCCAGCAGAGGGCGCUCUAAUGAUGAGAAAAACAGGCAUGUGUAUUAACCUGAUGAAGUGAAGAAACUCUAUGCACAAAUAUCAAACAAUUUCGCAUUUUUGAGAUCCUGCAUGGGCUAGUUCAUAAUUUACGCACGAUAAUUGCAAUAGCAUUCAACUUAAAGUUAUUUACAGAUUAGUGUGAUUAAGCAAACAUGUGUGAACGAGAAAAUAAAGCGAAAUAAACCGUGACAAAAGUUCGAUACUCGCGCUGACUGACGCACAGCCAAAGAGCUGGCACAGAAAGCCUGUCACACUGGCAUGAACGAUCAAAUACACAUGAAGUUAUGUCUUAAUGCUCAUCUUGGUGAGUAUUCAUGUAAACAGUCAGUUAAGUCUCAAGCAAAUGUAAAUAUGUGGGAGAAAAAUGGAUCAAUAUAUUGGAUCCGCAUUAGGUCUUAAAGUGACAGUAGCCUAAUUCACCUGUGGCUGUCUGUACUUAAUGUUUUAACAAAAAACAAAAGGGUGAUCGAUUACUUGCCUUUCUUGACCGUAUGAAGACGGAAUAAGCAGCAAAACAAGCCUUCAGCGUCUGCUGAGAGAAAAUACCAUCUCUCACGAUUAGUAUCUGUUUACUGCAAAUGGCUUCUUUUCAGUAUUAUAAAUAUGUCAUAUUCAACCAAAUAUAUCAGACAAACAGAUCAACUGGCUUUUGAGAUUAUUAGACACUUUUACAUCCACAUUAUGGUACCAGUCAGAGACUAUUAGUUUCUUUUUAAUAUUUAGAAUUUUAUCGACAUCAAAAUUCACGUUUAAUUCAACGUGUUGCUGUUUCUUUGUAAUUGUUUGUGAAAUAUCCAUUUCUAAGUAAUAUGCCAUAUU